GUCAGCCAUUCACAGGAUAAGAGCUUGUUCUGAUUUUCCACAAUUUCAGCUCUUUCCCUACAGGAGGUAAGACUCUCACUCAGGGCAAUAUUAAAAGAUUUGAGGGUCAGUAUGGGCUUCUGGAGCUGAGAGACAGAAUCUCGGAGUUAAAUGUUUCCUUUCAUCACUUUGGCUAGUGAACUUAGGAGCAACCAACCAACCAACUUCAUUAUAUUCCUUGGUUCCCACAUAUGGUCAAAGAUAUUAUAUAUAGAAUCACUAAAUUCCUUGCCUGUCAUGAGUGGUGAAUCAGAAGUAUCAAAUGCAUUUAUUUUGCUUAACUGUCUAAACAAUUCAUGCCAAAGACUCUCCGUGUUCUCCAUACUAGUAGAAGUAGAGUCCUUAGCAUUUUGGGGUCUAGUCAUAUUAAGCAACCAACUCCAGAAACCCCCAGACCAACUAAAGAACUUCAUCCUUAAAAUUUUUUUCCUCUAGAACCACUCCUGAUACCAAAAUCUGUGUUAAUCAGGGUUCUCUAGAGGGACAGGACUAAUAAGGUGUGUGUGUAUAUAUAUACAUGAUCCAUGAUGGAUCAUGUAUACAGAUCCUCUAUGUGUGUGUGUGUGUGUGUGUGUGUGUGUGUGUAUACAGGUUUGAACAGUGUGGAUCCAUUUUUAUCUGGAUUUUCUUCUGCCUCUGCCAUCCCUGAGACAGCAAGACUAUUCCCUCCUCCUCCUCGUUCUCCUCCUUCUCAGCCUCCUCAACAUGAAGGCAGUGAGGAUGAAGACGUUUAGGAUGAUCCACUUCCAAUCUUCCAAUUAAUCAAUAGUAAACAUAUUUAUCUUCCUUAUGAUUUUUCUUAAUAACACUUUCUUUUCUCUACCUUACUUUAUUGUAAGAACAUAGCAUAUAAUACAUGUAACAUACAAAAUAUGUGUAAAUCAACUGUUUAUGUUAUCAGUAAUGCUUCUGGUCAACAGUAGGCUUUUAGUAGUUAAGUGUUGGGAAGGCCAAAAGUUACAUGUAGAUUUUUGACUGCACGGGGGUUUGGUGCCCCUAACCACCAAAUUAUUCAAGGGUCAACUGUAUUUUUGUUGUUUAAGCCACACAGUCUUUGAUACUUUAUUAUGGCAGCUGUGGAGGAAGAGUUAAAAUAUUAUAUUUGAACUCAAUUGAACGUGGGCACAAACAACGGUCACCAAGUCCCGGCACAGGUUGUGUGAGCUUCUUGAGGCGUUUAUCCAGUGCUGUUUUGGAGAAAUCUCUAUUUCAAUCUAUUCUCAUACUUUAGUUAUUGAAGAACAAUAGACACUGGCAAAAACAAGUUGAUCUUUUUGUGUUCCUUGAGCCCAGUCAUGAAGGGCCCUCAUGACUGGGCCUCAUGCCAAACAACUCGUUACAAAAAGAGCUAGAGUCCCAGACUGUGCCGAAGCUUCAUGAGACCUCUCCUCGUCUGCACGGAUGAGUGGCCAACUCAGGAGCCAAGGCUGUUGCUUCCCAGUCUGGUGGUGAAUCUUCCAUAUUCUGAAAGAGCUAGAGUCCCAGACUGCACCGAAGCUUCAUGAGACCUCUCCUCAUCUGUGCACGUUUGAGUGGCUGACUCUGGAGCCCAGGCUGUUGCUUCCCAGUCUGGUGGUGAAUCCUCCAUGGUCUGGUGAGUAUAACUAUAUAUAUAUAUAUCUUUUCCCUUCUCUCCUUCCCAUUGCAAUUGGCUUGUUAUAUUAAUUUGUUUAUUAUAUCAUUUGCUUAUUAUAUCUGCAUUGUCAUUUAUGUGGGACAAAGCUUGUUUACCCUUAAAGGUAUUGUGGGUGUGUCUUUUCUUCUCCCCUCACGCAUUUCCCACACAGAACAGCAGCCUGAGCGAACUACUGCAAGGAAUUCAAUUUGUUUCAUAUUGAACAUGUAUUGAGUAGAGAGUACAAAGAUUGAAGAGUCCCAGUCCUUGAGGAGCUAAAGGCUUACUAGGAACCCAAGAAUGUCUCUAAAAUGGAAUCCACACAGAGAGAGAGAUUUGGACUUAAAAAAGGGGGUAACUUUCUCUUAGAGGAGUCCCCAAAAUAUAUUUAUUGGGUUUCCUUGGCUUAAAGAUUUUUCUGAUGAAAUAUAAUUCAAGGGUAUCUAGACUAGAUAAUCCUUAUGGGUGAUGUUGAUGAAAACAUUCUGACACUCAGCAGUUGUUUAGACUAGAUAAUCUUCAAAGGUUCAUGUAAUUUUCACCUUUUAUCUCUGCUCUUUGUACCUUAAGCUUUAAAUGUAUAUUUUUAAAUGCAAUCAUGCAUUGCUUAAUAACAGGGAUAUGUUCUGAGAAACUCAUCAUGAGGCAAUUUUGUCAUUGUGCAAACAUCAGAGUUUACUCACACAAACCUAGAUGUUACAGCCUACUACACACCUAAGCUGUGGUAUAGCCUAUUUGUCCUCAGCUACAAAUCUGUACAGCAUAUUGCUGUACCGAAUACUGUAGCAAUUGGAACACAAUGGGAAGUGUGCG
rnacentral:lncRNA from 10 species